UCUUUCAUUCCUUCAGCGCGCGCCAAUGCCUCUUGGGCCGUUGUUGUUUCUUUUUUGGGCCUGGCCCAACUAUCUUUCGAUUCGAUUUUGUGCUUUCGACAGCCUCUUGACAAAACCAAAACUGAAUGUGCCUUCCAAAGCUUUCGAAACACUCCCUUGCUUCGACAUAGUUAGACCUCGACACCAUCUUUGAAAGUUUUAUUUUGACAAUAUAUCCUUCAAAAUAAAUGUUGGACCCACCAAUUAUAUUUAAUUGAUAAAUACCAAAUUUAUGUCCAACA
rnacentral:lncRNA from 1 species